GCCCCAGUGGCCUAAUGGAUAAGGCACUGGUUUCCGGAGCCAGGGAUUGUGGGUUCGAGUCCCAUCUGGGGUG
rnacentral:tRNA from 1 species